rnacentral:rRNA from 1 species
AGGACGAACGCUGGCGGCGCGCCUAACACAUGCAAGUCGAACGAGAGAGAGGAAGCUUGCUUCCUCAAUCGAGUGGCGAACGGGUGAGUAACGCGUGAGGAACCUGCCUCAAAGAGGGGGACAACAGUUGGAAACGACUGCUAAUACCGCAUAAGCCCACAGGUCGGCAUCGACCAGAGGGAAAAGGAGCAAUCUGCUUUGAGAUGGCCUCGCGUCCGAUUAGCUAGUUGGUGAGGUAAUGGCCCACCAAGGCAACGAUCGGUAGCCGACCUGAGAGGGUGACCGGCCACAUUGGGACUGAGACACGGCCCAGACUCCUACGGGAGGCAGCAGUGGGGAAUAUUGCACAAUGGGCGCAAGCCUGAUGCAGCAACGCCGCGUGGAGGAAGACGGUUUUCGGAUUGUAAACUCCUGUUCUUAGUGAAGAAUAAUGACGGUAGCUAAGGAGCAAGCCACGGCUAACUACGUG